CUAAGAGACCAUUCACGGUUACUUACACAAACUUUUUCUCUGGCGAGGCGGUGGCCGCCUCCACCACCGUUCUUGCUACUUUUUUCUAUUUUUCGACCAUUUCUUCCAAGAUCUCAACAGCCCAACACAAUGACGUUGAACCCUUUUUCAUGUUCUUUGAAUAAGGGUUUGGUCGGCCCUGCUCUGGUGUAUUUGGAUUUAGGAUUCGUCGGCUUUCGUCCACAAUUUUUCUUCUCGUUUGAUUGGGUGUUUCUCGUCUAGCUUGGUUAUGUAAUUUGGGAGCUAUCUUCUCUGGCAGUCCUGGUAGCAAUCGAAGCUUUCUGGUUCUUUUUUUCGAUUGAAUAGCUCUUUUGUAGUUCGAGCUACAUUGUGUGGGUGAGGCGGUGGGUGUCGUUGUACCAAUCUUAAAACUGCUGAAGAAAUAUUGAAUGUGAGUAUUUUUAGUUGGAUUAUA